UACGUAGGGUGCAAGCGUUGUCCGGAAUUAUUGGGCGUAAAGAGCUCGUAGGCGGUUUGUCGCGUCUGCUGUGAAAACUCGGGGCUUAACUCCGGGCCUGCAGUGGGUACGGGCAGACUAGAGUGCGGUAGGGGAGACUGGAAUUCCUGGUGUAGCGGUGAAAUGCGCAGAUAUCAGGAGGAACACCGGUGGCGAAGGCGGGUCUCUGGGCCGUAACUGACGCUGAGGAGCGAAAGCGUGGGGAGCGAACAAG
rnacentral:rRNA from 1 species